rnacentral:lncRNA from 1 species
AAACUUACUUGCAAUCAUUUUUAUUGUCUUUAUUUAGCUAAGCAAUCAGGGGAAGCAGAAAACAUCAUUUUGUUCUUUUUUGAUCGUAUUUGUAAAUAAUCCUGAAACCCCACAAGGCUAUAAAGAAAAUUAAAAGUUUGUUUUUAAAUUAAUAUUUUUCUAAUAAUUAGGUAAUAAAACCAUCAAAAUUUUAUAUAAGGAAAAGGUUCAUAAGUGAGUUAUCUAAGAAUAAAGGAAAUGUCCCCAUAUGCACAUUAAAAAGUGUUUGAAACAAAAAAUUAGUUACUUUUUGUUGUUGUCUUUGAGCUCAGGGAAUUUUUACUUUCAAACAUACCACAGCAUAGUUUCAGCAUUUUAAUACUCUGUGGAUUCACUGCAAACAUUUACAUACUUAAAAUACUUAUGGGGGAAAUACCGUUCAGGUCACUUUUUAAAUAAUUGAUAAAACAAAAUUAAAAUAUUUUCUAUUACAUGCCUAUUUACAAUCCAGGUAACAAACCAAGAAAAUAUUUACAAUCACCAUUUUUAUAUAGGUGUUGGGCAAUUUGUUAUCCCCUUAAAUCAAACAUGAAAAGAAUGAGUUGACUAAGAAUUUAGUAAUAACUCCUCAAGACCAUCCUCAUAUGUAUGUCUGUGUACAGCUUUCUUAUAGCUGUUUUAUUGUUUUACUCUUACUUUUCUCUUUGUGCUAAUAUUUUUACUAAUUUGUAUAGCAUUCUAUUUAUAUCAUUUGCAAGCAAAACACAGUAAUGAAGAAUACUCUAAAUAAAGGUGUGUUUCUGAAGCUGAUCUGUUAUAAAUGUUUACAGUGGGAGUGAAAAUUGGAACCAGCCAAUUCCUCCUUAAUGGGUACUUUGUGAAGGAUAGCCCCUUAGCUGCAUUGUAACUGCACAAUCAGAUUGUUUUCCCUGUGAAUCUCACCUUAGGGCAACCUUGGGAAUUGCUGUACACCCAGGCAUAGAAGCUUUAAGCAGAAAUAGCAGUUGGAAGGGUAAUCCCAUCUUAUCUAUGCCCAGGUUGGCCCUUCAUUUCUACCCCCAGAGGAAUUCUAGUAUAAGCCUCCCUCCCAACCUAUAGCCAUGUCAUUAGACAUGCUCUGCUGAGCUCUGAGAUAGUUUGAAUCCAAUUUUUAAAGAGGAGGAACAGACAAGCUGAAGGAAAGACAUGGGAGAUGCUGAGGGAGGAAAUGGCUGGGGAGAGGUGAAGCCUACUUGCCUUGUCUUCCACAUUCCCUAACAACCUUGCAGAGCCCUCCUACCUAUAACCUUCCUUUUAGUCCUUUUUCUCUUACCCAAGAACUCUUCGUUAGUCCCUGAGAGAUACUGCUUCUAAUAGCAACAUCUCCUCAGAAGAAAUUCCAUUUGAUAAACUUGGCAGGCAUGUUGGGCACUUCUUUGGAAGGCUGUCCAUUGUGUCUGCAGAAUGUGAGAAAACCACUGUGGAUAAACUACUAAAAAUGUCUAAGAGAGAUAACCUGAGUUGUUAGGGUUCACACAGUGCUGCAGUUUUUAUGUUCCUGAACUUUUUAGUCACAGAAACUUACUUUUUCAUUUGCUCCUGGAAUAAUAAGACUCUAGGGGGGAAGAAGAGUUGAAAUAACUAAACUUACUCCAGGAGGUUAGUAAACUAACAAGGUAUGAACAUUGAGUGUGUGUGACCACCUUCACGGAGCACGAAUCUUCAUUAUUUAGGCCAAUGUCAUGGCUAAAGCACUUGGGAAACCAAAUUUGUAAGUGGGAGGUUACUGGGUGAGCAGAGCAUUAGGGCAAGGAUGGGGGUAUGGGGCAAGUGAGCAGUUGUUGGGACAGUCUGCACUCUAGAGUAAAGAACAUGAGUAUGGAAUCACAAUAAGCUCUAUGCAAAGGUUUGCUCCUCUGAGAAAUUUUUACACUGAGCUCUAGUUUUCUCUUCUAAAAAAGCAUAAGAGUAUCUACCUUAAAGAAUUGUGAAACUUCAUAAUUUUAUAAUGCAUUUAACACACCCCAAUUUUUGAUUUUUAGAAAGUGCUUGGUAAAUUAUAAUAUAAUCUAGUGUCUGUUGUCCCCUCCUCAUCAUUGUUAGGAGUUUGAUUCAUGCAAAAGCCUGGGAGUACAUCCAGGCUCCACUGAAGAGCUCAUUUUUGGAGCAGUUGGUAGGCUUAAGUCUUCCUGAUGCAGUGACUCUUCUCUGGAUAUUGGCCAAAUACUAACAAAUGAUUCCAAUCUGAUCUUCAUCUUCCUAGAUUCAAUGCCAAUGGGCCAUUUUUUCCCUUUAUGAUAUCAAUGAAAAACAUUUAUAAAUUACAUUUUCAUGUACCUGAAAUUUGAGGGAUGUGUUGUUUUCACUGGGAAAUUUAAACCUCUCUGGACUCCAUUUGCAAAAUGGGGAUACAAAUGCCAGUGUGAUAAGCUGAAUGUGGAUAUUUGGGGAUUGAAUGAGAGAAUUUAGUUGAAAAUGCCUAGCGCUCUGUUUGGUGGCAUUCUGGUUUCUUGAACAAUGCUAACUGGAUCUACCGCAUAUUUAAAAACAAUUCCUUGGAGUGGUUACUCUCACUGAAUUAUAUUGGAUCAUGUUAGUUUCUGUUGAAGGGAGUAGCAUUUUCUGGCCUUGUCUCUGUGUAGGUAAGAUAUUCUAUACUUUGAAGCCCUUGUGUCUGAUAUUAUUGCCGCUUCAAUUUAAGAGAUAGGUAAAAGAAAAUGGAGGGAAAAAAAAUCUCUAGACCCUGAAAGCAAGGAUAGAAGCCCUAAAUCAUCUUAGGUUAUUUGUUUCAAUAAAGAUCUUUUCUAUUUCAGUGAGUGAUUCAUUAGAAAGAAGGAAUUCAAAUUGGUGGUUAGUCAUCUGAACAUACUCCUUUGUAUCAGUUAUUUCCUCAAAUCCAGAGUCUAUUUUGUGUUUAAUUAUAAGUAGUUAGGUACACUGCCAUGUAAUGUAAUCUUUAUUUCGUCAUUUCAGUGGAGCUUAUUUUACAGAAAAAAAAAGUAGUUCAUUUCCACAGACACAUAAUGGGCAUAUACUGUGCAAAAGUUUUUUUUCCUAACUUCCUAAAUUUAUUCUUCAUUUUUUUUAUUGUUAGUUCCCCAAUACAAGUUUUUUUUCUAUUGUACAGCAUGGUGACCCAGUUACAUAUACAUGUAUACAUUUGUUUUUCUCCCAUUAUGGGCAAAAAGUUUAAUCAGGAAGUAUCAGAAUCAAACUUGUUUUAAAAAGACUGUCUAUACUAUCCAUAUAGACAAUGAAGAAGGAAGUAAGUAGACAUAAGGAAACAUGGCUUGUUAAGACUGUGCAAAGAUGAAAGCUAAGAGAAUUUGAGAACUUAUGGGUUCCUCUCAGAGGUAUAACUUUUCAUUACUUAUCCUUUGAUAUUGUGUAUUGCAUGUGACUUCUGUUUCCUAUUACUUUGGAAUUCUGGCUCCAGGUUGUUGAAUUUUCUGGAAAUCUAAGCCUAGUGCAACUGGAUUCUGAAGUAAAUUGAUGGUAUUAAUCAAGAUUAACUUGUUUUGAUCAACUAUACCUUAAUUUAAAAAAAAAUUACAGGAGUUCCCGUCCUGGUGCAGUGGUUAUCAAAUCCACUAGGAACCUUGAGGUUGAGGGUUCAAUCCCUUGCCUUGCUCAGUGGGUUAAGGAUCCGGCGUUGCUGUGAGCUGUGGUGUAGGUUGCAGACACAGCUCGGACCCAGAGUUGCUGUGGCUGUGGUGUAGGCUGGUGGCUAUAGCUCUGAUUCGACCCCUAGCCUGGGAACCUCCAUAUGCCAAGGGAGGGGCUCUAGAAAAGGCAAAAAGACAAAAUAAAUAAAUAAAAUAAAAUAAAAACUAAAAUUUAAAAAAUUACAUUAAAAAAACCCUUGUUUCCCCCAAACUGGAAACCAUUAUGUGUGAAUAGCUUGCCUAUUUUUCUUAUCUUUUCUUUAAUGACUCUUAUUCUCUCAUAGAGCUUCUCCACAAAUAAAUGUUACCAAUAAAUAAAAUACCAAUAUGAGUAUUUCUGACUGAAAUUCACAGGGGAGAAUUAAAAUUCAAUAGCCGUUGCAAGAGACUCUAUUUUUCACUCCUGCCGCCUAACUGCUGGGGAGUCAGUGAUUGAAAAGUAAAGAAAAUUAUUUCUAAAACUCCUAAAAGUGAGAAAUGAAACAAGUUUAAAGGGUUUUUUUUUUUUUUUUGGUUUUGUUUUUUUUUUUUUUUCCAAUUUUCUUCAGUGGAAGAAAAACUGUUUCGUUCCAACUUCAUAUUGUGUUCUUCCUUGUAAUCCAAUAUUAGGGCAUUAUGAGGAUGAGAUUCUUAUCUCUCUUAGUAUAGUUGGAACAUGUUUUGAAAGUUUGUAGGUGUUUGAAAAGGGAAUGCUGCAAAGUGAAAAUUCAUAACCUUUGAUUAUAAAUUGCACAAUAUCUUUCAUGAGAGCAUAAAGAGGCUUUCUUUUCAUUAUAGAAACACAGGGAUUUAAUACAGGUAGAAAGUAAUUUUGAUGCCCAGAAAUAUAAUGCUCUGUGAAUAAAGCCUCAUUUUCCCUCAAAACAUAAAAAUAAUAUACAAUCCGUCCUGUGUCUUUAUAAAUAAAAACCCACUCAUAGGCAUGUGUCCAAGCCGACCAAACAAUACAGAAAUGGAAAUACCAUAUUUUUUUCCUGGAAUUUCUUUACAUUUGGAUCAGCAUGUGUUUAUAACCUUUACAAAUUGAAAUUUGGGCCCACAGGAGAAAAGUGAGCUUUAUUUUGAGUAGGAAAAACACUGCCUUAAUAGUUUGACCCAAAUGUCUCAAUUUUUCUUUAUGGAUGAAAAAAUAGUACAAGUAAACUGUCAUGGUAAUAAAUAGCAAGCUAUACAAUUAUAUUUUAAACACAAAUUUGGGUUUCCCCUUCCAAUCCCGUGCCUCCCCCUCUUCCUUUUCCCACCAUCCAAAAAGAUGUCUCCCCAACUAAAGGCACCUGCUACAUUGGAUGUUUGCCAGAGCCCUAACAAUAGAAUGGAGUAAUUAAAGCAGGUUCAGGUCGUAAGUCUCCAUGACUGAUUGUGGGUCCUUUCAUCUUUCUAAACAUUACUCUUCUCAGGUUUAAAAGACAAAUAAUAAUAUGAGAAUUAGAUGAAUGUGUAUGUGAAAGUGCUUGGUGAAUCUCCAUUCUUUGUUUUGUCUCAAUCAUAUUUUUCUUUGAUGAAAAUUCCUUACCCAUACUCCUUUUGUUUUUCCUUUCCAGGAUAUAAUACCACUUUGUAAUAUACUAUCCCACUACCUACUGUUCAUUGAAUCACAAAUUUAAGUUCAGGUAGCACCAAAUAGCAAAGCUCCAGGAUAGAAGGCUAGAGGAACACUCUCUCUACUUAAGAUUUUAACAUUUUAAUCAAAGAUAAGUGCGUGUUAAUGAUUAAAAUGUGAAAAUUACAGAAGUUGACAAAUUUAAAAUCUCUUGAAGACUGCUGUGCUAGUUUUAAAGAGAGACACUUUUUAAACAUACACAAUUUUACACUGCAAACUUGUUUUACAAUUUACUUUUAAUGUAAUACCAGCACAUUUGUUCACUCAAUAUACAAAUAUUUGUUGAAUGUCAAUAAAUGCUAGGUAAUGUAGGCUCUGGUUUAUAGCAGUAAAUAAUCUAGAGAAGGUAUAUAUUAGAAUUAUAACCAUUUCCAUACUUGGAGACCUAUCUCCGUGUGUGUGUGUGUGUGUGUGUGUGUGUGUGUGUGUUCGCGCGCGCACAUAACACUUACAAAUGCGCAUUCAAUCUGUUUCUAAUGCUUGACAAUUUGGGAGGGAAAAAUUAACAAGCAAUUUUCGGUGUUUAUGUCUGAAACUGCACUGAUACAAAUAUUAACUAUUUUCAGGUCAAAAUUAUUUUUUAUUUUACUAGAUAUUUCCAGAUUACCUCAUAGGAGGUUGUGCUAAUUUAAACUUCCAGAAACAAUAAAUGUCUUAUUGUAUGACACAGUGAGCUCUCUGCUUAAAUUUUAAUAACCUUAUAAAUAAUUUUCUGCAUUGUCAGUUAUUUCUCUUUUCAUUGAUAUGUAGUGUUUUAUAUAUUAUCAAUAUUGGUCCUUUGGUUUCUAAUUACAUUGAAAUUAGUUUCUUCAAAAGUUGUUAGCUGUGGGACUUCCAGUGUGGCUCACAACAUAACUACUCAGCGUUGCUUCUACAGUGGCUGUGGCUGGACCCCUGGCCUGGGAACUUCCAUAUGCCACAGGUGCGG